rnacentral:lncRNA from 1 species
UCAGGGCACCACUUUCCCCUGCCUGCCUGUGCCUCUCUUGUCAACCUCAGCUUCUCUGUCACUGAACCCCAUCACACACAUAACACUGUGGGUCAUCCACCAUCCCUGAACCGUGACCUUGAAAUUCCACAUUCUGGUAGAGGAAUAUAAACGCAGGUCAGUAGCAUGACGACAGCUCGAAGGGAUCUGUCCAGCAACAAUCCAUCAACACUGCUCCGCAUCCCUGAUCUGUUCCAAACUUCCGGACCCUCAGCUGUUGUAGAGUGUUGAUCUAGUUGUCCCCAACGUCUCUGGCUCUACCUCUUCUGCCAACAUCACCAUGGCCGUGUGUCCUCACGCUUUGUCUGAUCCGAGGG